UCAGAGUGGGAGGCUCAUUUGCUUGACAUAAACUCCUCCCACCUACUGAUGGGGUUUCAUCUCACUGUGGCAGAUCUGCAGAGACAUAAGUGUCUAGGAAGACCAUCUUUGACCUUAUGCAAUGGAAAUGUGGUGGAAAUGGUCAGUGCCGGCAUUACUGACAGUGGCAGCAGUAGUUAAGGUGACAUCAGAUCAAAUGAGGAUUCAGUUCACAAAUGAGCCACCGAGUUCCAUUUCCAUUCUUCUCGGCUCAUCGAGGCAACUGACCUGCAGUUUCGUGAUAGAUGAGAACAUCCAGAGAGUCCGGGUUAGCUGGUGCUUCAAACCACCUGGAUGGUUACGGUCAUGCAAAGAAGACAUCUUGAACAAAUCAACAAAACUCUUUGAUAUAACAAAACAUGACAAUGUCAGGACACUGCGGACCCAUUUCACCAUAUCAAACGCGAAACACGACGACAGUGGGUUGUACUUUUGCAAAGCCACUGUAGAAGUGCCUAAUUAUGCUAGCUUUAACAGCAUCGGAACACAAGUACUUGUUGGCAAGUACAGCGUUUAAGAGAAAGCUUAUUGUCAUUGUGUCUUGCUGUCAUUUCAAGAAUGUUUUUGCCUCUGUUACAGAAAAUGGCACAGUGGACUACACAACAAUCCCAUCGCCUGCUGUACUGCCGAUUCUUCAUUACAGCUGGUGGUUCUGGGUAAUCACUGGAGGAUCCAUUGUGACUGCAGUCAUCCUUGUGGCCGCAUGCAUCUUGCACAUAAGAAGACAUCGCAGGAGCAGAGGUACCA